GGCCGGGUCCCAUACAAUAGCUUUCUUGACGAACUCCGCUAGGUCCGGAAGGAAGCAACGGCACUCGAGGGACUAUGUGAUAUGGGAGUGCCCGGCCGCU
rnacentral:SRP_RNA from 1 species